AUAGGUAAUCUAAUUAUGUAAAUGUAUAGUUCAAUACGCAGAAAUGUCAUCACAUAAGAGGAAACAAAAGUUUAACUAAAAGUCUUGUCACUUUUCUUGACAACAUUUUUAUAUAUUUAAGCAACAGUGCAUAGUACAACAUUUUACAAGCAGUUAUAAGUUAUAACCAUGUAAUACAGUGUUUUGAAUUAAUUCUUGCUUGUUUUGCGGAAGCUAUCAGCUACUACAUCUGCUUUUCUCAUAAUAUAUAGUAUUUG
rnacentral:lncRNA from 1 species